CCUACGGGAGGCAGCAGUGAGGAAUAUUGGUCAAUGGGCGCGAGCCUGAACCAGCCAAGUAGCGUGAAGGAUGACUGCCCUACGGGUUGUAAACUUCUUUUGUAAAGGAAUAAAGUGAGGCACGUGUGCCUUUUUGUAUGUACUUUAUUAAUAAGGAUCGGCUAACUCCGUGCCAGCAGCCGCGGUAAUACGGAGGAUCCGAGCGUUAUCCGGAUUUAUUGGGUUUAAAGGGAGCGUAGAUGGGUCGUGAAGUCAGUUGUGAAAGUUUGCGGCUCAACCGUAAAAGUGCAAUUGAUACUGGCAGCCUUGAGUACAGUUGAGGUAGGCGGAAUGCGUGGUGUAGCGGUGAAAUGCUUAGAUAUCACGAAGAACUCCGAUUGCGAAGGCAGCUUACUAACCUGCCACUGACAUUGAUGCACGAAAGUGUGGGUAUCAAACAGGAUUAGAUACCCUUGUAGUC
rnacentral:rRNA from 1 species